rnacentral:rRNA from 1 species
AGAGUUGAUCAUGGCUCAGGAUGAACGCUAGCGGCAGGCUUAACACAUGCAAGUCGAGGGGCAGCGGGAUGUAGCAAUACAUUGCCGGCGACCGGCGGAUGGGUGCGUAACGCGUAUGCAACCUACCUUAUACAGGGGAAUAACCUUUCGAAAGGGAGACUAACACCCCAUAGUAUUGAUUUAAGGCAUCUUAGAUUAAUUAAAUAUUUAUAGGUAUAAGAUGGGCAUGCGUAUGAUUAGCUAGUUGGUAAGGUAACGGCUUACCAAGGCGACGAUCAUUAGGGGUUCUGAGAGGAAGGUCCCCCACACUGGUACUGAGACACGGACCAGACUCCUACGGGAGGCAGCAGUGAGGAAUAUUGGUCAAUGGGCGCAAGCCUGAACCAGCCAUGCCGCGUGCAAGGAAGACGGCCUUAGUGGGUUGUAAACUGUCUUUUACAUAAGACUAACCGUAUAUUUGCGAAUAUACCUGAAUGUAUUAUGAGAAUAAGGAUCGGCUAACUCCGUGCCAGCAGCGGC